rnacentral:rRNA from 1 species
GAGUUUGAUCAUGGCUCAGGAUGAACGCUAGCGGCAGGCUUAAUACAUGCAAGUCGAGGGGCAGCAGCUUUAUAGCAAUAUAGAGGCUGGCGACCGGCAAACGGGUGCGGAACACGUACACAACCUUCCUUGAAUAGGGGGAUAGCCCAUAGAAAUGUGGAUUAAUACCCCGUAAUAUAGCGGUGUGGCAUCACACUGUUAUUAUAGUUUCGGCGAUUCMAGAUGGGUGUGCGGCUGAUUAGGUARUUGGCGGGGUA